rnacentral:rRNA from 1 species
GUGCCAGCAGCGGCGGUAAUACGGAGGGGCUAGCGUUGUUCAGAAUUACUGGGCGUAAAGCGCACGUAGGCGGACUGUUUAGUCAGAGGUGAAAUCCCAAGGCUCAACCUUGGAAUUGCCUUUGAUACUGACAGUCUUGAGUUCGAGAGAGGUGAGUGGAAUUCCGAGUGUAGAGGUGAAAUUCGUAGAUAUUCGGAGGAACACCAGUGGCGAAGGCGGCUCACUGGCUCGAUACUGACGCUGAGGUGCGAAAGCGUGGGAGCAAACGAGGAUUAGAUACCCUGGUAGUCCACGCCGUAAACGAUGAAUGCUAGCCGUCGGUCAGCAUGCU